rnacentral:rRNA from 1 species
UAGUGGCGCACGGGUGAGGACGCGUGGAUAAUCUGCCUUAGAGUGGGGGAUAACUAGUCGAAAGAUUAGCUAAUACCGCAUAAGACCACAGGAGCUGCGGCUCUAGGGGUCAAAGGUUUUUCGCUCUAAGAUGAGUCCGCGUAAGAUUAGCUAGUUGGUGAGGUAACGGCUCACCAAGGCGACGAUCUUUAACUGGUCUGAGAGGAUGAUCAGUCACACUGGAACUGAGACACGGUCCAGACUCCUACGGGAGGCAGCAGUAGGGAAUAUUGCACAAUGGAGGAAACUCUGAUGCAGCGACGCCGCGUGAGUGAUGAAGGCCUUCGGGUCGUAAAGCUCUGUCGCAGGGGAAUAACACAAUGAAUGUACCCUGUAAGAAAGGAUCGGCUAACUUCGUGCCAGCAGCCGCGGUAAGACGAGGGAUCCUAGCGUUGUUCGGAAUUAUUGGGCGUAAAGCGGAUGUAGGUGGCUUUGUAAGUCAGAUGUGAAAGCCCAGGGCUCAACCCUGGAAGUGCAUUUGAUACUGCGAAGCUUGAGUGUCGGAGAGGUUACUAGAAUUGUUGGUGUAGUGGUGAAAUACGUAGAUAUCAACAGGAAUACCGGAGGCGAAGGCGGGUAACUGGCCGAACACUGACACUGAGAUCCGAAAGCGUGGGGAUCAAACAGGAUUAGAUACCCUGGUAGUCCACGCCGUAAACGAUGGAUACUUGUUGUUGGAGGUAUUGACCCCUUCAGUGACGAAGCUAACGCGUUAAGUAUCCCGCCUGGGGAGUACGGUCGCAAGAUUAAAACUCAAAGAAAUUGACGGGGGCCCGCACAAGCGGUGGAGCAUGUGGUUAAUCGA